CUACCAAAAGUUUGUUUUGGGGGGAAGGUUUUUUAAUAACCUUUACCAGAUUGGGCUGUUUGGGAGAUUAAAGAAAAGACCACACUCCACAGUGGGCUAUAUCACUUAACGUAUAGUUCACUACUAUUUUGUGGCCUACAUU
rfam:Canis lupus familiaris chromosome 34, whole genome shotgun sequence.